CGAGCCUCUGGAGAGUCUCAGAAAUGAGCGCCGAAGGAGCAAGGUAAAUUAUUUUAUAAUAAUUUGCCGAAACUUUCAGGCAAAAAGGACAGGGGAUA
rnacentral:ncRNA from 1 species